rnacentral:rRNA from 1 species
GACAGAGGCUGCAAACGUUGUUCGGAAUCACUGGGCAUAAAGCGCACGUAGGCGGUCUGUUAAGUCAGGUGUGAAAGCCCCCGGCUCAACCGGGGAACAGCAUCUGAUACUGGCAGACUCGAGGAUGGUAGGGGUGAGUGGAACUCCUGGUGUAGCGGUGAAAUGCGCAGAUAUCAGGAGGAACACCGGUGGCGAAGGCGGGUCUCUGGGCAACAACUGACGCUGAGGAGCGAAAGCGUGGGGAGCGAACAGG